rnacentral:rRNA from 1 species
UACGGGGGGGGCAAGCGUUGUUCGGAAUUACUGGGCGUAAAGGGUUCGUAGGUGGCUCGCUAAGUCAGACGUGAAAUCCCUCAGCUUAACUGGGGAACUGCGUCUGAGACUGGCAAGCUUGAGUGCAAGAGAGGAACGCGGAAUUCCAGGUGUAGCGGUGAAAUGCGUAGAUAUCUGGAGGAACACCGGUGGCGAAGGCGGCGUUCUGGACUGCAACUGACACUGAUGAACGAAAGCCAGGGGAGCAAACGGG